ACAUGCUGAUAACCCGGCGUAAGUCGCGGUUGUAUUUAUUAGAUAUUAAACCAAUAUGUUAAUAGCAUUUUGAAGGAAUUAUGGUAACUGAUCGAAUCCUCGCUUGUCGAGGAUAAAUCAUUCAAGUUUCUGCCCUAUCAGCUUUCGAUGGUAGUGUAUUGGACUACCAUGGCGAUUACGGGUAACGGAGAAUUAGUGUUCGAUUCCGGAGAGGGAGCCUGAGAAACGGCUACCACAUCUAAGGAAGGCAGCAGGAGCGUAAAUUACCCAAUGUCGACUCGAUGAGCGUAGUGACAAUACAUAACAAAGAGGGGAUUUCAUUAUCUUACUCUAUUGCAAUGAGGCAUGUUUAAUAACCUGUUCGAGCAACCAGUGAAGGGCAAGCCUGGUGCCAGCAGCCGCGGUAAUUCCAGCUUCACGAGUGUAUAUUUAAGUUGUUGCAGUUAAAAAGCUCGUAGUUGAACUUCUUUUUGUUCAGAAGGCGUGCAAGCGCAGUCUGGGCGAAAAUCCGCCUGAAAAAUCAUUCGGGUCUUCACUGAUUCAGUGAUGGAUCAGGCAUUUUACUUUGAAAAAAUUAGAGUGUUCAAAGCAGGCUCACGCCUGAAUACAUUAGCAUGGAAUAAUAGAAUAGGACGCUGUUCAAUUUGUUGGUUAUUGAAUUGCGUAAUGAUUAAUAGGGACAGUUGGGGGCAUUUGUAUUUAAUUGUCAGAGGUGAAAUUCUUGGAUUUAUUAAAGACAAACUUAUGCGAAAGCAUUUGCCAAGGAUGUUUUCAUUAAUCAAGAACGAAAGUUAGAGGAUCAAAGACGAUCAGAUACCGUCCUAGUUUUAACUAUAAACUAUGCCGACUCGGUCUCAGUCAAGUCUUCCUAACUUGAUUGGUGCCGUAUGAGAAAUCAAAGUCUUUGGGUUCCGGGGGGAGUAUGGUCGCAAGGUUGAAACUUAAAGGAAUAGACGGAACAUCACUACCAGGUGUGGAUCCUGCGGCUUAAUUUGACCCAACACGGGGAAACUUACCAGCGCAAAACAAGGGUGGGAUUGACAGAUUGAGAGCUCUUUCUUGAUUCUUUGGAUAGUGGUGCAUGGCCGUUCUUAGUUGGUGGAGUGAUUUGUCUGCUUAAUUGCGUUAACGAACGAGACCUCAACCUACUUACUAGACGCGUGAUUAAUUCAUCGCGUGUUCUUCUUAGAGGGACUGUGCGGAGACAGACGCAAGGAAGUUUGAGGCAAUAACAGGUCUGUGAUGCCCUUA
rnacentral:rRNA from 1 species